rnacentral:rRNA from 1 species
UUGCCCUAGUAACGGCGAGUGAAGCGGCAACAGCUCAAAUUUGAAAUCUGGCUUCGGCCCGAGUUGUAAUUUGCAGAGGAAGCUUUAGGCGCGGCACCUUCUGAGUCCCCUGGAACGGGGCGCCAUAGAGGGUGAGAGCCCCGUAUAGUUGGAUGCCUAGCCUGUGUAAAGCUCCUUCGACGAGUCGAGUAGUUUGGGAAUGCUGCUCAAAAUGGGAGGUAAAUUUCUUCUAAAGCUAAAUACCGGCCAGAGACCGAUAGCGCACAAGUAGAGUGAUCGAAAGAUGAAAAGCACUUUGAAAAGAGGGUUAAAUAGCACGUGAAAUUGUUGAAAGGGAAGCGCUUGUGACCAGACUUGCGCCGGGCAGAUCAUCCGGUGUUCUCACCGGUGCACUCUGCCCGGCUCAGGCCAGCAUCGGUUCUCGCGGGGGGAUAAAGGCCCUGGGAACGUGGCUCCUCCGGGAGUGUUAUAGCCCGGGGCGUAAUGCCCUCGCGGGGACCGAGGUUCGCGCAUCUGCAAGGAUGCUGGCGUAAUGGUCAUCAGCGACCCGUCUUGAAACACGGACCAAGGAGUCAAGGUUUUGCGCGAGUGUUUGGGUGUAAAACCCGCACGCGUAAUGAAAGUGAACGUAGGUGAGAGCUUCGGCGCAUCAUCGACCGAUCCUGAUGUUUUCGGAUGGAUUUGAGUAGGAGCGUUAAGCCUUGGACCCGAAAGAUGGUGAACUAUGCUUGGAUAGGGUGAAGCCAGAGGAAACUCUGGUGGAGGCUCGCAGCGGUUCUGACGUGCAAAUCGAUCGUCAAAUCUGAGCAUGGGGGCGAAAGACUAAUCG